UUAAACUAAGUAAAAUAUGGAAAGAAAAUUCAUGUAAUUAUAUUAAUGAAAUUAAUAAAAAGACACUAUAUUUUUUUUAUAUUGUUAUCCAUGUUUCUAAACAAUUUUCAUUUAUAAUGUUAUUUAUGUUUCAAAACAGUACCAAAAUGUAUUUCAAUUUUAAUAAGAUCCUCGAUAAUAAGAAAAAAAGGAAAGAAUCUGAGAAAACUAAGCUCAUGAUCAUUAAUUCUCCAAUUAUAAAUUUAUCACUUUUUUAUCCUCACUCAAUUUACAUCAAACUAUAUAUUAAGAAAAAAGAAGACAACUCUUGGUAUUGUUUAAAAGAAAAAAAAAGAUUGAGUGCGAGACAUUUAUAAAAUGGGUUCUUCAAUACUCUUGGUCGCAUUCGCGCUAGUGAUUACAUUGUCCAUCUCCUAUGAUCAUUUAUCCGGAAUAGGAAUAAACGCGAUAGUUCUGCCUCCGGAUUGUUUCAGCGACAAGGCAUGUAACAUAACGUUUAAUAAUCAAGCAUGUAACAAAAUGUGUAGAGGAAUGUCUUAUAAAGAUGGUCGCUGCACGGACCCUGAACUCAUCCCUCCCUAUUUCUGGCGUUGUUGUUGUAACCCAAAAUAACUACACUUUCUUUGAUCAAUAUAUUUCUUUUUUUAAUGCUUUAAAUAUCUAGGAAUAUAAAAAAAAAUUGUGAGAAUUUCAUAUAAAUAUCUAAUUUGAUUAGUGCACUGUAUUUUUCCUGAAAAUAAUAAUUUUAUUAUGAGAUAAUUGUGAUUGUUUUUUGAGCAAAUUAGCUCAAUAUACUAAAAAAGGUGGGAUACCAUAGAAUGGAGGGAAAAUGGUAAUGAUGGGAGAAGAAAAUUGGAGGGAUAUAGAGUAUGGAGUGCAAAUAGGGGAGAUUUGGUGUGUAUGGAGUACAAAUUCUCUUGUUUUUUUGACAUCGAGAUAAUUGUAAUUGUUAUUUAACAAAAAAAAAACACUUAGCAAUAUGUUUUUCUAAAAUCAUAAAGGUGUAAGAAAAUCUGAGAGACAAUGGUUAUUCUAACUGAAUUUUUAUGCAUAUUUUUCGUUUCGAAUUAUAGAUAUAUGUGUGUGUGUCUAAUUUACACGAACUCCGAAAUAUUUAAAUAAACUAUAUAAUUUUUUGAAAAUCUAUCUAAAUCUGUACUGACCUUAAUCAAACUGUUAAUUCGAAUGAUUAAACAUCUAACAUGGAAAUCAACUUAAUAACCAAGAAUCCUUAAGAUCCACGUACCUUCUAUCUCCAUACUUUUGAACAUGUAGGGAAUGCUCUGAUACCACGUAUUAUGAUUUCUUAUGGCUGUUUCAACAUCUGAGUUCGUUCACGAAUGAUUGAUUCCAAAUUCCCAAUCUCGAUGAGUAUUUCAGUGACCUAUACGAGAACAUAACACACAAAGAUUACUUAUUCUGUGUUCACCAAUGUGACUACUCACGGAGGAGGGAUCUGUAUCCCUCAAGCUCAAUAUAACUUCUUUAUCCUGAAAACACACUGAAAUCACCUCUGAUUUUGGGAUCCUUGAUAAUGAUGACACUAUGAGCUAAAUUAUCUCACUUGUUUUCUUAUCCGAUCGAUCUUGAUAUAGUCUCUGAGCUCUCUUUUUCUCAAGUUUACUCUCUCUUCUCUAACUUACUUCUCACUCUUCUGUAAAUCGCAUGAAGAAAACGAUGAUUCUUCUUGUUAUACAUCUGUUGCAAGCCCAAUGGACUUAUGUUUUGGCCCAACCGUCGGCACAAGGAAAGGACUGAAACUGUUUCAGUGAAACACAAAGCACGUAAAUCAUCUGGUCGGUGUUUGACUGAAUAGUCUCACACAACUUGGAAGAAGUUAUGGAUAUGACGAUAUUAGAACAAAAGCGUUAUGGUUACGAGACUUCUAAUUAUUAUGGAACCUCUCCUUUGUUAUUCGUAAGAAAUUUAUUUAUUUAAUAUUGAUUUCUUUAUUAUUAUAUCAAACCAUAUCUUCAGAACUUGGACUAUCUUAUAUAAUUGUAUAGAUAGACUCUCUUUUAAUUGGGGUUUUUAAUCAAAGCAUCUAACCUAUAAUAAAAGGGGAAUAUGGUGAAUGGGGAGGAUGUCCACGUCACUAAAAAAAUCAACCAAUCAGAAUCAUGUUACACAUCGUAUGGGCUUCAAUUAAAUUGUUACCGUUUGGGCUUAGUUACAUUUGUAAACGUUUGGGCUUGAAGUAAUUGAUUUGGAUCAAUUAAAUCAGAAAACCAAACCGGUAAAAGAUAAAUCUAUAAUCGCCUCUAACACUUCGUCUUCUUCUCCGUCUCAAGAUCAAAGAAACUCAGUUUAGAUGGAGCCACUUCUAAACAAUCAAUUAUCAACUUUAUGUUUUCUAAUCAAUUCGUUCUUAAUGAGAUCGUUUCAUCUUCCUCUCUUCCUCCUUUUUAUACUGAUUAUUUCCUUUCGGAUCAAAGAUGUGUGGACAUGAAUUGUUAUCGUUUUACAUCUCUUUGAUCCGCCGUAUCCGCUAUUCAUGUAAAGACAUGAAUUGUUGUCUGAACUCUUGGCCUCCUCUAUUGUUGAACGUAAUUUCAUAAUCUCUCCUGUAAAUGUUAUGUUCAUUUAACCCAAAAAUGCUAUCGCCUUCUCCGUUUUCGUCGUGUUGGACCUAUAAAUUGGAAAGGGUUGAGUGCCGUGGUUGACACUACUUAUGCAUCAAAACCCACUUCGAAAUUCAAAUUUCAGUCUAUUCAGUUCACUUAGCCUCCUCCGAUCCUUCAUUUUUUUUAUCAAUUUCAGAUAAAAACCCUAAUCCACUGAAUUGGUUUUUGGUGUUUUACUAUCUUUGCAGGCCCAAAUUGCCUUCAAGGUGUCAUAAGAUAUUAAGAUUACGAACUGAAAGGAUUGAAGCAGAAGCAAGCUAAUUGCAUGAUCCAGCCAUAGAGACCUCUGAAGAUUUCGAUUUGAGCCGUUUUCAUCUUAGCUCCAACAGAUACGAAGGGUUAACAACGAUGUGUUUAGAGUUUGUAAAAUAUUUCAUGAAACAGAGCAAGGGUGGGAGCUUUACACUUGCGUCUGCCUUGGAAUUGAGAAGUCACUAUCGAUGGAAAAAGUAAAGGCUACAAGUUGAGCGCUGGCCAAAACAGAUUCUUUAAGGCAAGUUUGCCUUGCCUAGAAACAGUAUCUGCUAAUUGCACGUCACUGACAGAAAGCAAAUAUAUUCUCAAAGAAAUGGAUUGCUUGAUCACAAGAGACUAAGGUGUCCUUCAUGAGCUUUUGUUACUCACAACUUUGCCAUUUUCAAGAUGUAUCCUUAUAGGUAGGAACCCUUACAAGGUUAUCUCUGCCAAACGAUAUCACAACCACACGCAACCACCCAAUUGCUCUAUUUUCAUAUAUAUUUUGGAUAAGGAUAUGAACAUAAUCCCUCAACAGAGCAUGGAGAUGAGGAGGGAUCUGGUGUUAACUGCUGCAGUUGCGGCUGUGUGCUCCAUAGCAAAGGUAUCAGAACAAGAACCUAAGAUAGGGGCAGAAGCAGCCAAUAAGAAGUAUACUUAUGUUUGUGCCACAGUGCCUACGGCCAAGAUUUGGAGAAACUGAGAUCACUUUCUUACCAACAAAACUAUAUAUCCAUUUCAUGUGUCUGUAGAAUUAUAACUGUUACUAUGUAAUCAGAUGAAAAAUCCUUUGAUGAUGUAAGUUUUUUCUUUUGUAACUGAUUUGUUUUGUUGAUGUUUGGUUUGGUAAAAAAAACCAAUUAGAAAUCAA